rnacentral:rRNA from 1 species
UUGGAGGGCAAGUCUGGUGCCAGCAGCCGCGGUAAUUCCAGCUCCAAUAGCGUAUAUUAAAGUUGUUGCAGUUAAAAAGCUCGUAGUUGAAUUUCGGGAUCAAUGGAUUGGUCAUGCCGUUGGUAUGUACUGAUUUUAUUGAUUCUCACCUUCUAAAGAAUCAUAAUGCCAUUAAUUUGGUGUUGUGAGGAAUUAGGACUGUUACCUUGAAAAAAUUAGAGCGUUUAAAGCAGGCUUACGCUUGAAUACAUUAGCAUGGAAUAACGAAAUAGGACAUCGCAUUCUAUUUUGUUGGUUUCUAGGAUCGAUGUAAUGAUUAAUAGGGAUAGUUGGGGGCAUUAGUAUUCAAUUGUCAGAGGUGAAAUUCUUGGAUUUAUUGAAGACUAACUACUGCGAAAGCAUUUGCCAAGGAUGUUUUCAUUAAUCAAGAACGAAAGUUAGGGGAUCGAAGACGAUCAGAUACCGUCGUAGUCUUAACCAUAAACUAUGCCGACUAGGGAUCGGAUGAUGUUAAUUUUUUAAUGACUCAUUCGGCACCUUACGGGAAAC